rnacentral:rRNA from 1 species
ACUCCUACGGGAGGCAGCAGUGGGGAAUCUUGCGCAAUGCGCGAAAGCGUGACGCAGCAACGCCGCGUGGGGGAAGAAGGCCUUCGGGUUGUAAACCCCUUUCAGUUGGGACGAAGCUUCGGCGGUGAAUAGCCGCCUGGAGUGACGGUACCUUCAGAAGAAGCCCCGGCUAACUACGUGCCAGCAGCCGCGGUAAUACGUAGGGGGCAAGCGUUGUCCGGAAUCAUUGGGCGUAAAGAGCGUGUAGGCGGCUUGGUAAGUCCGCUGUGAAAGUCCAGGGCUCAACCCUGGAAAGCCGGUGGAAACUGUCAAGCUCGAGUCCGGAAGAGGCGAGUGGAAUUCCUGGUGUAGCGGUGAAAUGCGUAGAUAUCAGGAGGAACACCGGCGGUGUAGACGGCUUACUGGACCAUGACUGACGCUGAGGCACGAAAGCGUGGGGAGCAAACAGGAUUAGAUACCCUGGUAGUCCACGCCCUAAACGAUGCACACUUGGUGUGAGCGAUUCAUUUCGUUCGUGCCGGAGCUAACGCGUUAAGUGUGCCGCCUGGGGAGUACGGUCGCAAGGCUGAAACUCAAAUGAAUUGACGG